AUAUCUAUUGAAUGGCAAUAUGUGUUUUGGAUCAUAUGUUAAAGAAUUGGGUUGUUGUUUCUUGAGAAUUAUUUUUUGAUGAGAAAUGUAAUAUUUAUGAUAAUAUGUUUGUUAAUAAUUUUUUAAUUUUUUGUUCAUAAAUGUAGAUCAAUAUAAAUAUUAAUAUAAUUUUUUAUCAUAUCUGUAGAAUAGAGGCGGUUGAAACCGCCUCUACCAUUGAUGCUGCAUAAUAAUAUUUGUAGAGGCGGUUUAGAACGCCUCUAUAGAUUAAAAUUUAUAGCGGCGAUUUAAACCGCUUCUAAAAAUAAAUAUUUGUAGAGGCAGUUUAAACCGCCUCUAAAUGAUAAAAUUUGUUUAAUAAACUGUGAAUAAAAAAUAUUAAAUUAAAAUAUUGCGGCGGUUGAAACCGCCUCUAUAUAUGUAAGGAAGUGAAUUCUCGAA
rnacentral:lncRNA from 1 species